AGAGUUUGAUCCUGGCUCAGGAUGAACGCUGGCGGCGUGCCUAAUACAUGCAAGUCGAGCGAACGGACGAGAAGCUUGCUUCUCUGAUGUUAGCGGCGGACGGGUGAGUAACACGUGGAUAACCUACCUAUAAGACUGGGAUAACUUCGGGAAACCGGAGCUAAUAACGGAUAAUAUUUUGAACCGCAUGGUUCAAAAGUGAAAGACGGUCUUGCUGUCACUUAUAGAUGGAUCCGCGCUGCAUUAGCUAGUUGGUAAGGUAACGGCUUACCAAGGCAACGAUGCAUAGCCGACCUGAGAGGGUGAUCGGCCACACUGGAACUGAGACACGGUCCAGACUCCUACGGGAGGCAGCAGUAGGGAAUCUUCCGCAAUGGGCGAAAGCCUGACGGAGCAACGCCGCGUGAGUGAUGAAGGUCUUCGGAUCGUAAAACUCUGUUAUUAGGGAAGAACAUAUGUGUAAGUAACUGUGCACAUCUUGACGGUACCUAAUCAGAAAGCCACGGCUAACUACGUGCCAGCAGCCGCGGUAAUACGUAGGUGGCAAGCGUUAUCCGGAAUUAUUGGGCGUAAAGCGCGCGUAGGCGGUUUUUUAAGUCUGAUGUGAAAGCCCACGGCUCAACCGUGGAGGGUCAUUGGAAACUGGAAAACUUGAGUGCAGAAGAGGAAAGUGGAAUUCCAUGUGUAGCGGUGAAAUGCGCAGAGAUAUGGAGGAACACCAGUGGCGAAGGCGACUUUCUGGUCUGUAACUGACGCUGAUGUGCGAAAGCGUGGGGAUCAAACAGGAUUAGAUACCCUGGUAGUCCACGCCGUAAACGAUGAGUGCUAAGUGUUAGGGGGUUUCCGCCCCUUAGUGCUGCAGCUAACGCAUUAAGCACUCCGCCUGGGGAGUACGACCGCAAGGUUGAAACUCAAAGGAAUUGACGGGGACCCGCACAAGCGGUGGAGCAUGUGGUUUAAUUCGAAGCAACGCGAAGAACCUUACCAAAUCUUGACAUCCUUUGACAACUCUAGAGAUAGAGCUUUCCCCUUCGGGGGACAAAGUGACAGGUGGUGCAUGGUUGUCGUCAGCUCGUGUCGUGAGAUGUUGGGUUAAGUCCCGCAACGAGCGCAACCCUUAAGCUUAGUUGCCAUCAUUAAGUUGGGCACUCUAAGUUGACUGCCGGUGACAAACCGGAGGAAGGUGGGGAUGACGUCAAAUCAUCAUGCCCCUUAUGAUUUGGGCUACACACGUGCUACAAUGGACAAUACAAAGGGCAGCGAAACCGCGAGGUCAAGCAAAUCCCAUAAAGUUGUUCUCAGUUCGGAUUGUAGUCUGCAACUCGACUACAUGAAGCUGGAAUCGCUAGUAAUCGUAGAUCAGCAUGCUACGGUGAAUACGUUCCCGGGUCUUGUACACACCGCCCGUCACACCACGAGAGUUUGUAACACCCGAAGCCGGUGGAGUAACCUUUUAGGAGCUAGCCGUCGAAGGUGGGACAAAUGAUUGGGGUGAAGUCGUAACAAGGUAGCCGUAUCGGAAGGUGCGGCUGGAUCACCU
rnacentral:rRNA from 1 species